GACGAGUACAGCUGCUCGCAUUGGCGCCAGUUUGUCUACGACUAACUGUGCAACUAAAGGCGGUUGUCUGUCACUUACAAAAGCCCUUGCCAUUGACGAAGCAAAACACGGUGUAAGAGUUAAUUCGAUUUCCCCUGCUUGCAUAGAUACACCAUUAAUGCGUAGGGUUGAACAAGUAGGAGGACAAGAAAUCAGUGAAGACAGAAUGAAAUGCUUGGGCUCUUUGCACACAUUGAACAGAAUCGGUCAGCCAAGGGAAAUAGCAAAGGCCUGUUUGUUUCUGGCUGUAGAUGCCACGUUUACUACAGGCAAGGAGCUGAUGUGCACCGGCGGGAGUGAAAUAGGAUAUGGAGUUAAACAGUGAUUUCAGUGUGAAAUGAGAACUCCAAGUUUCGUUGUAUCAUUAGUUAUCAUUAUAUCAGCUACAUGAUAAACAUUUUGUUAAUAUAUAAACUUCAAAGCGGACGUAGAUGUACACAUUUUAUUACAUAUACAGAUAAAUAUACACAUCUUCAAAACAAAUGUUGAAAUAUCCAUAUUUUGUUUUCUUCAUAAACCUUGUGAUGUUAAGACAGC
rnacentral:lncRNA from 1 species